GUCUCGGCACUGUUUGUCUGCUUCGGCUGCAAGUCCUUACUGUUGCUAGGAUACGGGCCUGUGUGUUGGUUUAUUCCGCUCCAGCAGGUACAAGAAAUGGAAUCUGCCCAUGAGGGUUCUUCCGGGGCCGUGUCCGUAUAGUGAUGCAGUGGACAGAAGCUUCUGGAAUGAUGAGCUGGAUUGUUGUUACCUGUGAGACUGGCCACACUCAGGGUGGAAGGCUGAUCAUCAGCAGACAUCCUACCAUCGUGAUGUAGGAACCACGAGCCAUAUUUAAAUGACAAAAAAGCAAAUUUUAAACAAGCAAUUAAAAAUAGCCGAAUCACAUCCAAUUGUUGUCACGGAUUCUUGUCUGCUUUACCCUGGGCAAAGCAGCGUGAGGGGAGAGAAAUGUGGGACACACCGUUAAAGAGUCGCUUCUGACCGUGAACAUAGAAUUAUAGAACCAAAA